rnacentral:pre_miRNA from 1 species
UGUGUGUGUGUGUGUGUGUGUGUGUGUGUGUGUCUAUGUACACAUAUAAGUAUCUGUAUAUUAAUGAAUAUACCUAUAUAUGCACACACACACACACACACACACACACAUA